rnacentral:tRNA from 1 species
GGACCCGUAGCUUAGCGGUUUAAAGCGCCAGCCUGUCAAGCCGGAGAUCGCCGGUUCAAAACCGGUCGGGGCCG